GGGCCCGUAGCUCAGCCAGGAGAGAGCGCCGGCCUGCGGAGCCGGAGGUCCCGGGUUCAAAUCCCGGCGGGCCCGCCA
rnacentral:tRNA from 1 species